AUUGAACGCUGGCGGAAUGCUUUACACAUGCAAGUCGAACGGCAGCACGGACUUCGGUCUGGUGGCGAGUGGCGAACGGGUGAGUAAUGUAUCGGAACGUGCCCAGUCGUGGGGGAUAACGUUGUGAAAAUUACGCUAAUACCGCAUCCGAUCUAUGGAUGAAAGCGGGGGAUCGCAAGACCUCGCGCGAUUGGAGGGGCCGAUAUCAGAUUAGGUAGUUGGUGGGGUAAAGGCCCACCAAGCCAACGAUCUGUAGCUGGUCUGAGAGGACGACCAGCCACACUGGAACUGAGACACGGUCCAGACUCCUACGGGAGGCAGCAGUGGGGAAUUUUGGGCAAUGGGCGAAAGCCUGAUCCGGCCAUUCCGCGUGCAGGAUGAAGGCCCUCGGGUUGUAAACUGCUUUUGUACAGAACGAAAAGGUUUCUACUAAUACUAGGAGCUCAUGACGGUACUGUAAGAAUAAGCACCGGCUAACUACGUGCCAGCCGCCGCCGUAA
rnacentral:rRNA from 1 species